ensembl:misc_RNA Metazoa_SRP Metazoan signal recognition particle RNA
GCCAGGCAUGGUGGUGCAUGCCUGUAGUCCCAGCCACUCAGGAGGCUGAGGUGGGAGGAUCGCUUGAGCCCAGGAGGUUGAGGCUGUAGUGAGCUAUGAUGGCACCAUUGCAUUCCAGCCUGGGUGACAGAGCAAGACCUUGUCUCUU